rnacentral:rRNA from 1 species
GGUCCUUGGGGUUAUGGUAAGGGAUCUGNCCUGCUYGAUGAUUUUGUUUAAAUGGCCGCGGUAUAUUGACCGUGCAAAGGUAGCAUAAUAAUUAGUCUUUUAAUUGAGGUCUGGAAUGAAUGGUUGGACAAGGGAGUGGCUGUCUUGGGGCUAAUAGGUGACGUAAUUUUAUUUUUAAGUGAAAAAGCUUAGAUUGUCUUGGGGGACGAUAAGACCCUAUAGAUCUUUAUUCUUUCUUUUGCGUUGUGGUGAUGGGGAGAAUUGCGUUGGGGUGACGGGGAGAAAUGAUUAACUCUCUUAUGAGCAGGUUUGUUGGUAGGCAUGAAGUGUGGGUGAUCCAGUGUUAUUGAUUAUUAGAUUAAGUUACCUUAGGGAUAACAGCGUAAUUUCUUUUGAGAGUUCUAAUCGACAGGGGAGGUUGCGACCUCGAUGUUGGAUUAAGGGUUACCUGGUGGUGCAGAAGCUG